rnacentral:rRNA from 1 species
UACGAAGGGUGCAAGCGUUGCUCGGAAUUAUUGGGCGUAAAGAGCUCGUAGGCGGCCUGUUGCGUCCGCUGUGAAAUCCCGGGGCUCAACCCCGGGCGUGCAGUGGAUACGGGCUGGCUGGAGGCAGGCAGGGGAGAACGGAAUUCCUGGUGUAGCGGUGAAAUGCGCAGAUAUCAGGAGGAACACCGGUGGCGAAGGCGAUUCUCUGGGCCUGUACUGACGCUGAGGAGCGAAAGCGUGGGGAGCGAACAGG